AACGAACGCUGGCGGCAGGCUUAACACAUGCAAGUCGAACGGGUGUAGCAAUACAUCAGUGGCAGACGGGUGAGUAACACGUGGGAACCUUCCUAGGGGUACGGAACAACUCAGGGAAACUUGAGCUAAUACCGUAUACGUCCGUAAGGAGAAAGAUUCAUCGCCCCUAGACGGGCCCGCGUCGGAUUAGGUAGUUGGUGGGGUAACGGCCUACCAAGCCUACGAUCCGUAGCUGAUCUGAGAGGANGAUCAGCCACACUGGGACUGAGACACGGCCCAGACUCCUACGGGAGGCAGCAGUGGGGAAUCUUGGACAAUGGGCGCAAGCCUGAUCCAGCCAUGCCGCGUGAGUGAAGAAGGCCUUAGGGUUGUAAAGCUCUUUUACCAGGGACGAUAAUGACGGUACCUGGAGAAUAAGCCCCGGCAAACUUCGUGCCA
rnacentral:rRNA from 1 species